UACAAAGUAAAAGGAAAGCCAUACGACAGAUCAUUCCAGCCAGGAGAUUCAUUUACAGUGAAAGAGGUAGCGGGAGACUAUUCGAGCUUUGUACUUGAUGAUCUGGAGCCAGCUACACUCUAUGAGGUCUACGUGGUAGCGUCCACUAGCAAAGGGGAGGGAGAGUCUAGUCAGCAUGUUGAAGAAUUUACGGAACCUCCUGCAGCUGACGAGCUUCCAAAGCCCAACCCACCAGUGAUAGUGUCUUCACCUGACGGUUCGCCUACCAUUCAGUUUAGCGAUGUGCUUGAAUCUCCAUAUAUAACGCACAUACUUGUUGCUGUUGAAGAGAGAAUUCCGGUAACAAGGCGCCGACGUCAAAAGGCAGCGUAUGGAUCCUAUGCCGAGAAUCCUUCCUCAUACAUAGCAGCUAACAUCAGCAAAGAUGAUCUUCCGAUAGAGCUAACUAUAGGGGAUAACGAGACUUAUGGACAUUACCACAAUGCACCCCUCAGAGACAAGGCGAUAUAUGAUGUACGAACAGGUGUUGAGAGCAACGUUGGAGGACAGAAAUCCACCCUUUUCGGAGAUCCA